UUAGGAUUUUUGACCUGAGCCCAAUAUCAUAGAAGAACCAUUCUUGCAUCAGAUUGGAUUUUGGACAUGAGCUCGAUAUCAUAGAAGAACAAUUCUUGCAUUCAUUUGGAUUUUUGACCUGAGCCCAAUAUCAUAGAAGAACCAUUCUUGCAUCAGAUUGGAUUUUGGACAUGAGCUCGAUAUCAUAGAAGAACAAUUCUUGCAUUCAUUUGGAUUUUUGACCUGAGCCCCAUAUCAUAGAAGAACCAUUCUUGCAUCAGAUUGGAUUUUGGACAUGAGCUCGAUAUCAUAGAAGAACAAUUCUUGCAUUCAUUUGGAUUUUCGACCUGAGCCCAAUAUCAUGGAAGAACCAUUCUUGCAUCAGAUUGGAUUUCUGACAUGAGCCCGAUAUCAUAGGAGAACAAUUCUUGCAUCAAUUUGGAUUUUCCACCUGAGUCCGAUAUCGUAGAAGAACCAUUCUUACACCAGAUGAUAAAUAUUAAAUUUCUCUGUCAUUUUCAUUAAUAAAUUUUGUGAUUAUCUCACGAAUUAACCCCUAAAAUUAGAUAUUUGUGUUUGGAAGCACUAAUUUUUGAUUGUUUUAGGGAUUUUCGACCUGAGCCCAAUAUUGUAGAAGAAUCAUUCUUGCAUCAGAUUGUCAGUAUUAAAUUUCUUUAUCAUUUUCAGCAAUAAAUUUUGUGAUUAUCUCACGAAUUAACCCCUAAAAUUGGAUUUUUGUGUUUCGAAGCACUAACUUUUGAUUGUUUUAGGGAUUUUCGACCUGAGCCCGAUAUCAUAGAAGAACCAUUCUUGCAUCAGAUUGGAUUUUCCACCUGAGUCCGUUAUCGUAGAAGAAUCAUUAUUACGCCAGAUUGACUAAUAUUUGAUGGCUUUAGGAAUUUUCCACCUGAGUCCGAUAUCGUAGAAGAACCAUUCUUACACCAGAUGAUAAAUAUUAAAUUUCUCUCUUCUUUUCAUUAAUAAAUUUUGUGAUUAUCUCACGAAUUAACUCUUAAAAUUGUAUUUUUGUGUUGCAAAUUACUAAUAUUUGGUGGUUUUAGGGAUUUUCCACCUGAAUCCGAUAUCGUAGAAGAACCAUUCUUACACCAGAUGGACUAAUAUUUGGUGGUUUUACGGAUUUUGCACCUGAGUCUGACAUCGUAGAAGGACCAUUCUUGCAUCAGAUUGGAUUUCACUUAAUUAUUUAGGGUUUUUGGAACACAAGCAGCGCGUUACUCAAGUCAAAUUGAAUGAAUCAAAAGUAAUAAAUACUACCCUGAUGUUUUUAAUUUUGUAUUGUGUCUGAUAUGUUGCUUGUGCCGGGGCAGCGCGUCAGUUUUCUUGCUUAUUUAGAUAGUACUGGUAGGGGCUAUCUGCUUUGUUUACGCCUGAUAUCAGUUCUCUUUACACUUUAGUCGAUCGCGCGCUGUGCUACGGUUAGCACGUGUUUUGUUCGUCAGUCGAUCUUCGUAGCGACUUUUCGCGUUUCUUACUUUAAUUCUGUAAUUGCCUUCAUCGGCCUUUCGUAACAGGGUAAUGUGGCGCAACCCGAAUUAAUCAUCGGUUCGUCUGUGCGCUUGGGAUGUUCGUUCGGCCGGCCGUCGCUAGAUAUUAUUCGGUUGUGGAAUUAUCUGCAACUGUGUUGAUCUUUAUGUGCGCCGCAUGCGUGUUCAUCGGCAGUCGUUUAUCUUCUCGAAUAUUGGCAAAACUUGGAUUUAAUAUUAAUUCCUGCUGAUAGACAACGUUGGUGCCCAGUUUUUGAGUAUGGGAGUCAUGAAAUCAGCGAUAUCCAUGAAAGAAGUAUUGGAGAUGCGCACAUUUUAAGGUAAGUUUUUACUGCUACGAGAUUUGAGGUUCGUCAAUGUUUUUUUUUUAUUUGAAUGAUAUAUGUAUUUUUUAAUGUUGUCAAUAAAACACAUUGUAAUGUUAUAAA